UGUCUCAAGGCAUGAGCCUGCCAAG
rnacentral:misc_RNA from 1 species